rnacentral:rRNA from 1 species
UACGUAGGGGGCAAGCGUUGUCCGGAAUCAUUUGGCGUAAAGAGCGUGUAGGCGGCUUGGUAAGUCCGCUGUGAAAGUCCAGGGCUCAACCCUGGAAUGCCGGUGGAAACUGUCAAGCUUGAGUCCGGAAGAGGCGAGUGGAAUUCCUGGUGUAGCGGUGAAAUGCGCAGAUAUCAGGAGGAACACCAAUGGCGAAGGCAGCUCGCUGGGACGGUACUGACGCUGAGACGCGAAAGCGUGGGGAGCAAACAGG